GACGAACGCUGGCGGCGUGCUUAAUACAUGCAAGUCGAACGGAAAGGCCCUGCUUUUGUGGGGUGCUCGAGUGGCGAACGGGUGAGUAACACGUGAGUAACCUGCCCUUGACUUUGGGAUAAAUUCAGGAAACUGGGGCUCAUAUAGGAUAGGAGCUCCUGCUGCAUGGUGGGGGUUGGAAAGUUUCGGCGGUUGGGGAUGGACUCGCGGCUUAUCAGCUUGUUGGUGGGGUAGUGGCUUACCAAGGCUUUGACGGGUAGCCGGCCUGAGAGGGUGACCGGCCACAUUGGGACUGAGAUACGGACCAGUCGCCUACGGGACGCAGCAGGGGAGAAUAUUGCACAAUGGGCGGAAGCCUGAGGCAGCAACGCCGGGUGCGUGAUGACGGCCUUCGAGUGGUAAACCGCUGUCGCCUGUGACGAAACGUGAGUGACGGUAAUGGGUAAAGAAGCACCGGCUAACUACGUG
rnacentral:rRNA from 1 species